UACGUAGGGGGCAAGCGUUGUCCGGAUUUAUUGGGCGUAAAGAGCGUGUAGGCGGCUCGGCAGGUCUGUUGUGAAAACUCGAGGCUCAACCUCGAGACGUCGAUGGAAACCAUCUAGCUAGAGUCCGGAAGAGGAGAGUGGAAUUCCUGGUGUAGCGGUGAAAUGCGCAGAUAUCAGGAAGAACACCCGUGGCGAAGGCGGCUCUCUGGUACGUGACUGACGCUGAGACGCGAAAGCGUGGGGAGCGAACAGG
rnacentral:rRNA from 1 species